GGCCCAGUGGUCUAGUAGUAUGAUACUCGCUUCGGGUAACACCCCCGCACUUGGUGUGGAAGCAUGUGAGUGGUCCCGGGUUCAAUUCCCGGCUGGGCCC